GAGUAUAAUUGGAUAAUAUUUUGUGUAAAUUAUUGUGCUCAUACAGCUUAAAUGUGUGAAUUUUGUCCUAGUCACUUCGACCUUUAUCAGAUGUCGGUCGAAUCGAACGGGUCUCGUAAUUGGAUUUGGUGUUUGGACUUUGGAAAGUUGAAAAGACGGGCCAUGACCCGAAAGACAGACACACAGCCCAUUCUCCUGAAUCCUCAUUCCUUUCCCGCACAAUUGGUUGCCAAUCCAAUUUGCCCAAGGUUUUGCCCUGGCUAUGGCUUCGUAUAAUUUUCCCAAGAUAUUCAGAUACACUUUGCCUUUCGGAUUAUUUCAUUUCAGGUCCACUUUAGACUCGAUGAACCAGAAUAACAGAAGAAAUUUUAACUGAGAAAAGACAGGUGAAAAACAGAUACAACUUUUGCAUCAGUGUAAAACAGACACAACUUGGAGAGAAAGAUAGAGAAGCUAAAGAAGAAGAAGAGGAACAAAUGGUAGAUGAAAAGAUUAUUAGGAGAAGUUUGAAUGGUGAGGGGAGCCAAAAGCAAGAAAAAGCAAUAAGGGUCCCAAAAUUAAAGGGAAACUUGUCCCUUGAGUUGGAGAAAUACCUAAAAAGGAUCUCAGUAAAUUGAGCAUGCAAUGGGAAUUCUAUAAAGCAUCUGUUUUUUUUCUUCUUCUGACCAAGUGAAGCAAGCAUUAGUUAUUUGUUUAUUUUUUUAUUUUAGUGAUCGAACAAUUCUCAGAAAAUAUGUAAGGUGCACCCUGUCACAUCUCCCUCUCACAUGUCACAUGUGUAGACAUGCGAAGGAAAAUUAUGGACGGGUCUAUCCAUAACUCCAUGGCAUGAAAACAUCCUUUGGUGCACCUAGCUCUAUGAUGUACGGAGUACCUAAGAAUUUUUACAAUUUUUCGUAUUUUUUCCAUUAUACUCUGUAAUUAGAUAUUUAUGACUAAGCGAAGUUUUUGGAUCGAUUUGA